AGAUGGGAAUGAUGAGCCUGUAGACAUCAGCGAUGAGCUCAUAACGCUCCGCCUUCCAGAGGCCAUCAGCACACUCCUCCAAAAGCUCCAUCAGCACCUCCUGAACACACAGAUAAAGAGGCUACAGUGAACCUAAACUGAGCAUAGUGUUCCUGUAAAGACAGCAGAUGCGGGAGGAAAUGGAUCUAUCAUCUCCUUUCUUUUUAUUGGGGGAUGAUACUGAGUCCAGCUCAUAAAGAGGAAAGGAUUUUAGAGCAAAUGGAAGGUUAUCAGUUUACCAGAAGACCUAGUCACAGGUGUCUGUGUCAACAAGCCACUCCGGGACAUGCAGAGUGUCCUGGAGCAAGACACUGAAUCCCUGAACACCUCUAGAAGUGCUGACCCUCAGUCCUUGUCAGAUUUCCCAACAUUGUUCCAUCUGCCAGCUCAGUAAUUUUUUUUACAUUACCAACACAUGUACCAAGCCCUGUGUGUCAAAGUCUACAGUAAAUUCACUUCGCAGAGCAAUUGAUACUCUUAAAAGAGAUAAGAGCUCUUCUACACAGUCAUUAUGUGACACGUGAUGCCACUGAGGAACUUAAAAAAACAUCCUAAAUGCUUGGUCAACACAGCGGGCCUGGCAGAUAUUUACAGCAUGCAUACAGUAUAUGUA